rnacentral:rRNA from 1 species
UACAGGGGGUGCAAACGUUGCUCGGAAUCAUUGGGCGUAAAGCGCACGUAGGCGGUUCGUUAUGUCGGAUGUGAAAUCCCUCGGCUCAACCGGGGAACUGCGUCUGAGACUGAUGAGCUCGAGUGCAGGAGAGGAACGCGGAAUUCCAGGUGUAGCGGUGAAAUGCGUAGAUAUCUGGAGGAACACCGGUGGCGAAGGCGGCGUUCUGGACUGCAACUGACACUGAGGAACGAAAGCCAGGGGAGCAAACGGG